CGUCGGAACGUACCGAGUAAUGGGGGAUAACGCAGCGAAAGCUGUGCUAAUACCGCAUACGCCCUGAGGGGGAAAGUGGGGGAUCGCAAGACCUCACGUUAUUCGAGCGGCCGACGUCUGAUUAGCUAGUUGGUGGGGUAAUGGCCUACCAAGGCGACGAUCAGUAGCGGGUCUGAGAGGAUGAUCCGCCACACUGGAACUGAGACACGGUCCAGACUCCUACGGGAGGCAGCAGUGGGGAAUUUUGGACAAUGGGCGAAAGCCUGAUCCAGCCAUUCCGCGUGAGUGAAGAAGGCCUUCGGGUUGUAAAGCUCUUUCU
rnacentral:rRNA from 1 species